rnacentral:rRNA from 1 species
UAGGGAAUAUUGGUCAAUGGGUGAGAGCCUGAACCAGCCAUGCCGCGUGCAGGAAGAAAGCCUUCUGGGUUGUAAACUGCUUUUGUCAGGGGAUAAAAUACCCGUGCGCGGGGAAUUGAAGGUACCUGGCGAAUAAGCCACGGCUAACUACGUGCCAGCAGCCGCGGUAAUACGUAGGUGGCAAGCGUUGUCCGGAUUUAUUGGGUUUAAAGGGUGCGUAGGCGGUCCUAUAAGUCAGUGGUGAAAUACGGCAGCUCAACUGUCGAGGUGCCAUUGAUACUGUAGGACUAGAGUACUGUUGAGGUAGGCGGAAUGGACGGUGUAGCGGUGAAAUGCUUAGAUAUCGUCCAGAACACCGAUAGCGAAGGCAGCUUACUAAAGAGUAACUGACGCUGAGGCACGAAAGUGUGGGGAUCAAACAGG